AUACCGGCUGCUCGAGUGAUGGCCACUAUUACUGGGUUUAAAGCGUCCGUAGCUUGACUGUUAGGUCUCUUGGGAAAUCUUUUGGCUUAACCAAAAGGCGUCUAAGAGAUACCGGCAUUCUUGGAACUGGGAGAGGUAAGCCGUACUUCGGGGGUAGGAGUGAAAUCUUGUAAUCCUCGAGGGACGACCUAUGGCGAAGGCAGAGUACCAGAACAGCUUCGACAGUGAGGGACGAAAGCUGGGGGAGCAGACGGGAUUAGAUACCCCGGUAGUCCCAGCCGUAAACAAUGUGCGUUAGGUGUGGCGGUUACCACGCGUAACUGAUGCGCCGAAGAGAAAUCGUGAAACGCACCACCUGGGAAGUACGGUCGCAAGGCUGAAACUCAAAGGAAUUGGCGGGG
rnacentral:rRNA from 1 species